rnacentral:rRNA from 1 species
CCCUUAGAUGUUCUGGGCCGCACGCGCGCUACACUGAUGCAUUCAACGAGCCUAUCCUUGACCGAUAGGUCCGGGUAAUCUUUGAAUCUGCAUCGUGACGGGGAUAGAUUAUUGCAAUUAUUAAUCUUCAACGAGGAAUGCCUAGUAGGCGCAAGUCAUCAGCUUGCGUCGAUUACGUCCCUGCCCUUUGUACACACCGCCCGUCGCUCCUACCGAUUGGGUGUGCUGGUGAAAUGUUCGGAUCGGCCGUUUGUCGCGGUUUCCGCGUCAUGUGGCUGAGAAGUUCAUUAAACCCUCCCACCUAGAGGAAGGAGAAGUCGUAACA